GAUGAACGCUGGCGGCGUGCUUAACACAUGCAAGUCGAACGAAGCAUUUGAGUGAAUCCUUUCGGGGUGAAGCUUAAAUGACUGAGUGGCGGACGGGUGAGUAACGCGUGGGUAACCUGCCUUAUACAGGGGGAUAACAGUUGGAAACGACUGCUAACACCGCAUAAAACGGUAGUGCCGCAUGGCAGAACCGUCAAAUAUUUAUAGGUAUGAGAUGGGCCCGCGUCUGAUUAGCUAGUUGGUGAGGUAAUGGCUCACCAAGGCGACGAUCAGUAGCCGGCUUGAGAGAGUGACCGGCCACAUUGGGACUGAGACACGGCCCAAACUCCCACGGGAGGCAGCAGUGGGGAAUAUUGCACAAUGGGCGAAAGCCUGAUGCAGCGACGCCGCGUGAGUGAAGAAGUAUUUCGGUAUGUAAAGCUCUAUCAGCAGGGAAGAUAAUGACAGUACCUGACUAAGAAGCCCCGGCUAACUACGUGCCAGCCGCCGCGGUAA
rnacentral:rRNA from 1 species